AGGUUAUCCAGCAUCCAUCCAAUGCUUUUGAAAUUCGGAUGAAGAAGUCCGGAUUUGAGAUGCUUCCUGGUCAGUACAUAUUCAUAAAGUGUCCACAAUUGUCAAAUUUUGAAUGGCAUCCAUUUACUCUAACAUCCAGUUGCUGUUGAUGGACCGUUUGGUACCGCAAGUAUUGACAUAUUUAAGUACAAAGUUGGUGUAUGUGUGGCAGCAGGUAUUGGUGUUACACCCUUUGCAUCUAUCCUGAAGACUAUUUGGCAUCGUUUGUUGAACAAUUCUGAAGAUAUGAAACUUAGCAAAGUAUAUUUUUUCUGGAUCUGUCCCGAAACAAAUGCAUUUGCUUGGUUCUCGGAAUUACUGGAAGUGUUUGAACGCGAUAUGGUUGAGAAGGGAUAUGCAGACUUCCUUAAUUACAACAUUUACUUGACAAAGGGAUUGAGUUUUAAACAGG